rfam:Camelus ferus unplaced genomic scaffold scaffold711, whole genome shotgun sequence.
GAGGGUUGAGCUCAGUGGCAGAAUGCUUGCUUAGUGUGCAUGAGAUCCUGGGUUCAAUCCCCAGUACCUCCA